rnacentral:rRNA from 1 species
UACGUAGGGGGCGAGCGUUGUUCGGAUUCACUGGGCGUAAAGGGUGCGUAGGUGGCGUGGUAAGUUUGAUGUGAAAGCUCAGGGCUUAACCCUGAAAUGGCAUUGAAUACUACUAUGCUGGAGGUUUGGAGGGGGGACUGGAAUUCUUGGUGUAGCAGUGAAAUGCGUAGAUAUCAAGAGGAACACCAGUGGCGAAGGCGAGUCCCUGGACAACACCUGACACUGAGGCACGAAAGCUAGGGGAGCAAACAGG